rnacentral:rRNA from 1 species
UGAACGCUGGCGGCAGGCUUAACACAUGCAAGUCGAGCGGAAACGAUGAUAGCUUGCUAUCAGGCGUCGAGCGGCGGACGGGUGAGUAAUGCAUGGGAAUCUGCCCGAUAGAGGGGGAUAGCCCGGGGAAACCCGGAUUAAUACCGCAUAUGCCCUACGGGGAAAAGCAGGGGAUCUUCGGACCUUGCGCUAUCGGAUGAGCCCAUGUCGGAUUAGCUAGUUGGUGAGGUAAAAGCUCACCAAGGCGACGAUCCGUAGCUGGUCUGAGAGGAUGAUCAGCCACACUGGGACUGAGACACGGCCCAGACUCCUACGGGAGGCAGCAGUGGGGAAUAUUGCACAAUGGGCGCAAGCCUGAUGCAGCCAUGCCGCGUGUGUGAAGAAGGCUUUCGGGUUGUAAAGCACUUUCAGUGGGGAGGAAGGCCUAUUACUUAAUACGUGAUUGGAUUGACGUUACCCACAGAAGAAGCACCGGCUAACUCC